rnacentral:rRNA from 1 species
GCAUUCGUCAAGCAUGUUUUCAUUGGCCAUGAGCGAAAGUCAGAGGCUCGAAGACGAUCAGAUACCGUCCUAGUUCUGACCAUAAACGAUGCCAACUGACGAUCCGUGAUGGUAGCAUUUAAACCUUCCUCACGGGCAGUCCCCGGGAAACCAUUAAGUCUAUGGGUUCCGGGGGAAGUAUGGUUGCAAAGCUGAAACUUAAAGGAAUUGACGGAAGGGCACCACCAGGAGUGGAGCCUGCGGCUUAAUUUGACUCAACACGGGAAAACUCACCCGGGCCGGACACUAUGAGGAUUGACAGAUUGAAAGCUCUUUCUUGAUUUGGUGGUUGGUGGUGCAUGGCCGUUCUUAGUUGGUGGAGCGAUUUGUCUGGUUAAUUCCGAUAACGAACGAGACUCUGGCCUGCUAAUUAGUUCUCCUGUCCACUGUACUUGUGCAGGCGGGCGCUUGCCAAAUCUGCCCUAUACGGUUGGACCGUCGGUGGCGCUGUUGGUCGCGCUGAGUGUCGGCCGCAAGGUUGACGCUUGGUGUGCUGGCAGUGCAUGCCGGCGGGAUGGCUUGGGUGGGUAGAGCAGUGUCUGCUUCCGAGUACGGCGCGGGUGUCUACUUCUUAGAGGGACAAGUGGGAGAAGCCGCACGAGAUUGAGCAAUAACAGGUCUGUGAUGCCCUUAGAUGUCCGGGGCCGCACGCGCGCUACAAUGACGGUGGCAACGAGUCUGACUUUCUGGCCCGAAAGGGUUGGGUAAACUGGUCAAUCACCGUCAUGACAGGGAUCGGGGCUUGGAAUUGUUCCCCGUGAACGAGGAAUUCCUAGUAAGUGCAAGUCAUAAGCUUGCGCUGAUUACGUCCCUGCCCUUUGUACACACCGCCCGUCGCUACUACCGAUUGAAUGGUUUAGUAAGGUCCUUGGAUUGGCGCCAUUGAAGCCGCAGGGCUCAGGCGGUGCUGAGAAGACGACCGAACUUGAUCAUUAGAGGAAGUAAA